GAUGAACGCUAGCGAUAGGCUUAACACAUGCAAGUCGAGGGGCAGCACAAGGUAGCUUGCUAUCUGGGUGGCGACCGGCGCACGGGUGCGUAACGCGUAUGCAACUUGCCCUAUACAGGAGGAUAGCCCGUCGAAAGACGGACUAAUACUGCGUAUGCUCACAACUUGGCAUCAAGUGGUGAGGAAAGAAAUUCGGUAUAGGAUAGGCAUGCGUCCCAUUAGCUUGUUGGUGAGGUAACGGCUCACCAAGGCAACGAUGGGUAGGGGAACUGAGAGGUUUAUCCCCCACACUGGUACUGAGACACGGACCAGACUCCUACGGGAGGCAGCAGUGAGGAAUAUUGGUCAAUGGGCGCGAGCCUGAACCAGCCAAGUCGCGUGAAGGAUGACUGUCUUAUGGAUUGUAAACUUCUUUUAUACGGGAAUAACAAGAGUCACGUGUGACUCCCUGCAUGUACCGUAUGAAUAAGCAUCGGCUAACUCCGUG
rnacentral:rRNA from 1 species